rnacentral:lncRNA from 10 species
CUUCAGAUUAUCAGUUCCUAUGUAAAAUAAACAUGUUUUAUUUUAUAUAUUUGGAGUUAAAGUUUUUUUUCUUUAUGCAACCUUGGGUGGUAAGUGGAUAUGAGUAUUGUUUUUUCCAAAGACAUUUUUGGUGCUGUAUGAAUGACCAUUUAUUUGAUUUUAUGUUUUAAGAAUAGCAGUAUCAAUUUAGGUGAUUUCAGAGUGUUGCACAUUUCAUCUUUCUGGGAAAGUAGUUUAUAGUUUUAAAAUUACAUGAAAUGAUAUAAAAGGAAAAUUUUUCAUCAUGAGUUUUAUAAAGUGAGAUCAGAUUUAUGAUAAAUUUUGCUCCACUCUUCAGUGGACUGCUUGUGUAAAUCUGUUAAAACACAAAUCUGAUUUCCAGAAUGGCAAGUUUAAAGAAAGCAAAUAAAGUUACGGUAUUUUCGUUACCAAGUGGCACCAUUUAAAAACGAGUAAUAUUUAGCAUGUUAUGUGUAAGGAAAGUCUCUUUAUGCCUUGUUACUAAAUCGUUUGUUUUUCUCUAAAUUAUAUUAGCAUUAUUUAGAUUAUACCACAAAUAGAAUUUGUUGUAUUAAAAUUUGAAGUUUAUUUUCUUACAAGAGAAACUAUACUCUAGGAGCCACCUUUUGUAUAAAACUAAUGUUCCUCGAAAAGUAUCUGCAUUUUAAGAGUCCGCAACAUAGAAGUUUAUUGUUGAUUGGGUGCUUUAUUGCCACUUUACUUUGAGGGUUCAGUUGAACUCUCAAUUGGAUUCUUACUGUGGAUUUAGGAAACCAGCCAUCAAUCAUAGUGCUUAAAAUAAUGUGUUAAAAAUACUACAUUCAGCAAUAUUGUGGAAAUAGGGAAUGCAUUGACAUUUAGAGUUCUAUUUAAGCUCAUAUAUACACUGCUGCACUUCUAAAGAUGUGACUGAGGGUCAAUUUACCGACCACUUAAAUCUCUUAAUUUUAGGAAACCUCAUUAAGUCAGUGUAGAAGUAGAGUUAUGCAUUUUCAUUACACUUAACAGUACUUUUGUUUGAAAGAAAAGACAUGUUACUUCAUUAAUGGAUUCAAAUGAAUUUGGGUUUAGGCUGUAUCAAGUUUAGUUUCUGUUGUAUAUAAUAGAAAAUUCCAGUGCAAUAGUAGUGGCAAUGUUUCUCAUUUCAAGUUUGGGACAUACCAAAUUGCUUCAUAUUAUUCAAAGAUUAUUGUAAAAUUCUCAAAAAGAAAAAGGGAGAUCAUUUCAAUAUAUUUGAAUUCUAACAAUCUCUUACACUGGGUGCAGCACACCAGCAUGGCACAUGUAUACAUAUGUAACUAACCUGCACGUUGUGCACAUGUACCCUAAAACUUAAAGUAUAAUAAAAAUAAAUAAAUAAAUA